rnacentral:rRNA from 1 species
CUCAUGGUUUCACGGUAUUGCAAUGAGAACAAUUUAAAACCCUUAGCGAGAAUCAAGUGGAGGACAAGUCUGGUGCCAGCACCCGCGGUAAUUCCAGCUCCACUAGCGUAUAUUAAAGUUGUUGCAGUUAAAAAGCUCGUAGUUGAACCUCUGUCUGGGGCUAGUUUUGGCUUUGGUCAGGCUAGUUCUAGGCAUCCGCCUACAAGACUUAGAGGGCAUUCAGUUGUUCACUAGGAGGAGUAGGCAUUUUACUUUGAAAAAAUUAGAGUGUUUAAGGCAGGCAAUCGCCCGCAUAUAUUAGCAUGGAAUAAUAGAAUAGGACACUUUUCCAUUUCGUUGGUUAUUGGAAUCGUGUAAUGAUUAAUAGGGACAGUUGUGGGCAUUUGUAUUUAAUUGUCAGAGGUGAAAUUCUUGGAUUUAUUAAAGACAAACUAACGCGAAAGCAUUUGCCAAGGAUGGUUUCAUUAAUCAAGAACGAAAGUUAGGGGAUCAAAGACGAUCAGAUACCGUCCUAGUCUUAACUAUAAACUAUUCCGACUCAAUGUUUGACUGGCUUAUAUAACCAGUUGAGCGUUGUAUGAGAAAUCAAAGUCUUUAGGUUCUGGGGGGAGUAUGGUUGCAAAGCUGAAAUUUAAAGGAAUUGACGGAAGAGCACAACCAGGAGUGGAUUCUGCGGCUUAAUUUGACUCAACACGGGGAAACUUACCAGGUUAAAACAAUAGUGGGAUUGACAGUUUGAGAGCGCUUUCUUGAUUGGUUGGGUGGUGGUGCAUGGCCGUUCUUAGUUGGUGGAGUGAUUUGUCUGCUUAAUUGCGUUAACGAACGAGACCUUAACCUGCUUACUAGACUGGCGAUCAUCAAUCGUUAGCUCUUCUUAGAGGGACUUUGGUUGUUUUAACUCCAAGGAAGUUUGAGGCAAUAACAGGUCUGUGAUGCCCUUAGAUAUCCUGGGCCGCACGCGUCAUACAAUGACUAGUUCAGAAAGUUUUCUCCUGACCCGAAAGGGGAUGGGUAAUCUUGAUAAUACUAGUCGUGUUAGGGAUCGAUCUUUGCAAUUAUAGAUCUUGAACGAGGAAUUCCUAGUAAGUGCGGUUCAUCAGACCGUACUGAUUACGUCCCUGCUCUUUGUACACACCGCCCGUCGCUUCUACCGAGUGGGUGGUCCGGUGAGAUAAUUGAACUUCGCAGGUAACUGAGAGGAAAGAUUAUCAAACCUAUCCACCU